rnacentral:rRNA from 1 species
UAGUGGCGGACGGGUGCGUAACGCGUAAGAACCACCUUUUGAGGGGAUAACAUUGGGAAACUGAUGCUAAUACCCCAUAAUAGCUGAGGAGUGAAAGAAUAAAAUCGCCAAAAGAGGGGCUUGCGUCUGAUUAGCUAGUUGGUGGGGGUAACGGCCUCCCAAGGCCACGAUCAGUAGCUGGUCUGAGAGGAUGAUCAGCCACACUGGGACUGAGACACGGCCCAG